UGCAUUCCUCAGCAUCAAAGUAAAAACAGUUUUUACCCAGCCUAUUGACUAUACAUAGCAUAGUGCAAAAGAAAGGAGAAAACCCCUAUGAAUAUGCGGAAGCAAUUAAGGUUUUUGGAAGUUUUGAAGAUAUUACGAAUUAAUCAAUUAAGCCGUUCAUAGUGAAUACCUUAGUAAAUGGUUUGGAUGCUAAAGUAAAAAAACAAUUGAUGUUAUCCUUACUGGGAUGGCGGGAUAAAUCACUUAAUAUUGUAUUAAGUGCAGCAUCAGAAAUUUGACAAGCUAUUCAAAUCAAGGAAAAUGCAAAAGCUGAG